GCACAACAUGCGUAAAAUACUACAGAGUGCAUGCUGUCUAUCAUUGGUCCAGGUGACUCUGAUAUCAUUAGAAGCAUGCCAGAAGACUGGUGAAAGGUAAAACAUGCAAAAUUUUUCUUUAAUAAAACUUGGCAGAGCUUGUUUUAAAAAAAAAGAACCAAAUAUACAUUGAUAGACUAGUGAAAAAGAAAUCUAAUAGAGUAGAGGAAUGGGAGAGGGAUAGAAGACAGGAGGGAAAAGGAGAAGAUCAUGAACUAAAAUUGAUUUCCAUGCAUGUAUAAAGUUGUUAGGAUGAACCUAACUACUGUGUAAAACUAUAAAGCUGUACUUUGAAAAAAAAAAAGCAAAACUACACUGAGAUACCACUUCAUACCAGUCAAAUGGGCUAACGUCCAAAAAUGUAUUAAAAUACUCCAUAGUAGGAGCAAAGAAAAGAUUCACACAUAUUCCCUGUAUUAAGCUAGCAUCUCAAAAUUAUAUUCCCUCCUCCUCCUCUUUGUUAAAGGAUUUAUUAUGAAAUUUUAGCGAGACAAACUGAAAGAAUAUUACAGUGAACAACCAUAUGCCUCCUACCUAUUCUACCAUUGAUAUUUCAUGGUACAUUCAGCUGGAAUAUUUACCAGUUAGGUUUGCAUAAACUUGAAUUACCAAAGAGUCUGAAUUAUUCACUUUGCCACUCUGAGGUGCUGUAUGCAUCCAUUAAUGUUUAUUAGUGGACAUGGAAAUGGCAGAAGCAUCCCAAAGGAUGCCUCUAUGUUCCUAACAUAUUCCUGCUUCCUUUUUGACAAUUAAGGUGACAUUCUGUAGGUGUCACACAUACUUGACAUCUUUCCUUUGCCUAAAGGACAGAUUCUAUAACAAGGUCAUUGGAAUCAUCCUAUCCCUUAGUGGAAGAAACUAAGAUGUCAAAAAUAGCAAAGUUCAAAGGUAUGGGAAUGAAAAGCAAACAUUACUGGCUGACAAAGAGGACUUGCCUGAUGAGAUGUAAUAAUAAGACCUAUUCCCUCCUUUG
rnacentral:lncRNA from 1 species